rnacentral:rRNA from 1 species
AGAGUUUGAUCCUGGCUCAGGACGAACGCUGGCGGCGUGCUUAACACAUGCAAGUCGAACGAUGAAGCCCUUCGGGGUGGAUUAGUGGCGAACGGGUGAGUAACACGUGGGCAAUCUGCCCUUCACUCUGGGACAAGCCCUGGAAACGGGGUCUAAUACCGGAUAACACUGCGGACCGCAUGGUCUGUGGUUGAAAGCUCCGGCGGUGAAGGAUGAGCCCGCGGCCUAUCAGCUUGUUGGUGAGGUAGUGGCUCACCAAGGCGACGACGGGUAGCCGGCCUGAGAGGGCGACCGGCCACACUGGGACUGAGACACGGCCCAGACUCCUACGGGAGGCAGCAGUGGGGAAUAUUGCACAAUGGGCGAAAGCCUGAUGCAGCGACGCCGCGUGAGGGAUGACGGCCUUCGGGUUGUAAACCUCUUUCAGCAGGGAAGAAGCGAAAGUGACGGUACCUGCAGAAGAAGCGCCGGCUAACUACGUGCCAGCAGCCGCGGUAAUACGUAGGGCGCAAGCGUUGUCCGGAAUUAUUGGGCGUAAAGAGCUCGUAGGCGGCUUGUCACGUCGGUUGUGAAAGCCCGGGGCUUAACCCCGGGGUCUGCAGUCGAUACGGGCAGGCUAGAGUGUGGUAGGGGAGAUCGGAAUUCCUGGUGUAGCGGUGAAAUGCGCAGAUAUCAGGAGGAACACCGGUGGCGAAGGCGGAUCUCUGGGCCAUUACUGACGCUGAGGAGCGAAAGCGUGGGGAGCGAACAGGAUUAGAUACCCUGGUAGUCCACGCCGUAAACGGUGGGCACUAGGUGUUGGCGACAUUCCACGUCGUCGGUGCCGCAGCUAACGCAUUAAGUGCCCCGCCUGGGGAGUACGGCCGCAAGGCUAAGACUCAAAGGAAUUGACGGGGGCCCGCACAAGCAGCGGAGCAUGKKGSYUAAUUCGACGCAACGCGAAGAACCUUACCAAGGCUUGACAUACGCCGGAAAACCCUGGAGACAGGGUCCCCCUUGUGGUCGGUGUACAGGAGGUGCAUGGCUGUCGUCAGCUCGUGUCGUGAGAUGUUGGGUUAAGUCCCGCAACGAGCGCAACCCUUGUUCUGUGUUGCCAGCAUGCCCUUCGGGGUGAUGGGGACUCACAGGAGACUGCCGGGGUCAACUCGGAGGAAGGUGGGGACGACGUCAAGUCAUCAUGCCCCUUAUGUCUUGGGCUGCACACGUGCUACAAUGGCAGGUACAAAGAGCUGCGAAGCCGUGAGGCGGAGCGAAUCUCAAAAAGCCUGUCUCAGUUCGGAUUGGGGUCUGCAACUCGACCCCAUGAAGUCGGAGUUGCUAGUAAUCGCAGAUCAGCAUUGCUGCGGUGAAUACGUUCCCGGGCCUUGUACACACCGCCCGUCACGUCACGAAAGUCGGUAACACCCGAAGCCGGUGGCCCAACCCCUUGUGGGAGGGAGCUGUCGAAGGUGGGACUGGCGAUUGGGACGAAGUCGUAACAAGGUAACC